UAUGUGAUCGUCUCUCGCAUAUCAAUAAGCGGAGGAAAAGAAACUAACAAGGAUUCCCCUAGUAACGGCGAGUGAAGCGGGAAGAGCUCAAAUUUGAAAUCUUAAAGGGUUUCCCUUUACGAAUUGUAGUUUAAAGAAGUGUUUUCUGUUGAGGUUUUGGUAAAAGUUCUUUGGAAUAGGACAUCAUAGAGGGUGAGAAUCCCGUAUUUGACCUUUACUUUCAACUUUGUGAUACACUUUCAAAGAGUCGGAUUGUUUGGGAAUGCAGUCCAAAAUGGGUGGUAAAUUUCAUCUAAAGCUAAGUAUUGGCGAGAGACCGAUAGCGAACAAGUACCGUGAGGGAAAGAUGAAAAGAACUUUGAAAAGAGAGUUAAACAGUACGUGAAAUUGUCAAAAGGGAAGCGUUUGACACCAGUGUUGUUUUUCUGAAAAUCAAUUAAAGAACUGUUUAUGCUAAGCUGUUUAGACUUUAUCAGCUAACUGUUUAGUUUUGAGCUUUUCUUUAAUGCACUUUUCAGUUAACAAGUCAACAUCAAUUUCUUUUGCUGUAAAAAAGCUUGAGGAAGGUGGCUUGAGAUUCGUCUUAAGUGUUUAUAGCCUCUUGCCUAUGCAGUCGGAGAGAUUGAGGUCUGCAGCGUAGAUCCUUCGGGGCUAAAUGCAUUUGUGCUAAGUUAUAGCAUUUUAUAGACAACUUGUUGACUAUGAUUUGUCUUGUAGCUUACUCGCUUAUGUUAUUUUACCUACGCUUAGGAUGUUGACGCGCGUGUGUGCGUG
rnacentral:rRNA from 1 species